GACGAACGCUGGCGGCGUGCUUAACACAUGCAAGUCGAACGGAAAGGCCCUGCUUGCAGGGUACUCGAGUGGCGAACGGGUGAGUAACACGUGGGUGAUCUGCCCUGCACUUCGGGAUAAGCCUGGGAAACUGGGUCUAAUACCGGAUAUGACCUUCCAUGUAGUGUGGGGGGUGGAAAGAUUUAGCGGUGUGGGAUGAGCCCGCGGCCUAUCAGCUUGUUGGUGGGGUAAUUGCCUACCAAGGCGUCGACGGGUAGCCGGCCUGAGAGGGUGGACGGCCACAUUGGGACUGAGAUACGGCCCAGACUCCUACGGGCGGCAGCAGUGGGGAAUAUUGCACAAUGGGCGGAAGCCUGAUGCAGCGACGCCGCGUGGGGGAUGACGGCCUUCGGGUUGUAAACCUCUUUCGACAGGGACGAAGCUUCGGUGACGGUACCUGUAUAAGAAGCACCGGCUAACUACGUG
rnacentral:rRNA from 1 species